rnacentral:rRNA from 1 species
GCUCAGGAUGAACGCUGGCGGCGUGCUUAACACAUGCAAGUCGAGCGAAGCGAUUUAAGUGAAGUUUUCGGAUGGAUCUUAAAUUGACUGAGCGGCGGACGGGUGAGUAACGCGUGGAUAACCUGCCUCACACAGGGGGAUAACAGUUAGAAAUGACUGCUAAUACCGCAUAAGCGCACGGUACCGCAUGGUACAGUGUGAAAAACUCCGGUGGUGUGAGAUGGAUCCGCGUCUGAUUAGGUAGUUGGUGAGGUAACGGCCCACCAAGCCGACGAUCAGUAGCCGACCUGAGAGGGUGACCGGCCACAUUGGGACUGAGACACGGCCCAAACUCCUACGGGAGGCAGCAGUA